rnacentral:rRNA from 1 species
UACGUAGGGUGCAAGCGUUAAUCGGAAUUACUGGGCGUAAAGCGUGCGCAGGCGGCUUUGCAAGACAGAUGUGAAAUCCCCGGGCUUAACCUGGGAACUGCAUUUGUGACUGCAUGGCUGGAGUGCGGCAGAGGGGGAUGGAAUUCCGCGUGUAGCAGUGAAAUGCGUAAAUAUGCGGAGGAACACCGAUGGCGAAGGCAAUCCCCCUGGGCCUGCACUGACGCUCAUGCACGAAAGCGUGGGGAGCAAACAGG